UAGAUUGAAGCCAGUUGAUUAGGGUUUUUAGCUGUUAACUAAAGUUUUGUGGGUUAGUGUCCCACCAAUCUAG
rnacentral:tRNA from 1 species